CUACAGCUUGUAAUUUGGCUACUGAGAAAGUGAACGAAUUGACUAUUAGCAUAGAGGGAAAGAGCAUGGAUGAAAAGAAAAAUCUGCUAGCUAAAUGUGCUGCUACAACAUUAUCAUCAAAACUCAUUGGUGGGGAGAAGGAGUUUUUUGCAUCCAUGGUUGUUGAUGCUGUUAUUGCAAUUGGAAAUGAAGACAGGCUGAAUAUGAUUGGAAUCAAGAAGGUUCCUGGAGGUACUAUGUGCGAUUCAUUCCUUGUAAAUGGUGUUGCCUUCAAGAAGACAUUUUCAUAUGCUGGUUUUGAACAACAGCCUAAAAAGUUUGUAAAUCCCAAGAUACUUUUACUCAACAUAGAGUGGAACUGAAAUCAGAGAAAGAAAACGCAGAGAUAAGGCUUUUUGAUCCAUCACAGUAUCAAUCAAUAGUUGAUGCAGAGUGGAAUAUCAUUUAUGACAAGUUGGAUAAAUGUGUCAAGAGUGGGGCGAAAGUUGUUUUGUCUCGACUUGCUAUUGGUGAUCUGGCUACACAG